CACAUAUAAUUAACAAUAAGUUACCAUGCAAUCGUCCACUGAAAACAAAAGAUUUCAAGAUUUGCUGGUAAAAUAGAGUGAUAAAUCUACACGUUGAAAAGAACUCAUUUCAUCAUUGAGUUCUGUGGGUGGGGAAAAUUUUGGUGUCAUUGAGAUGGCCCAACAAAUGUGGCACCAAUCUGAUGUCUUGGUGGACCUCUGACAUCUCUGUAGAAAGAAUUGCGAUGAUUAUGAAC